rnacentral:rRNA from 1 species
GAGGGAUGAAGGCCUCUGGGCUGUAAACCUCUUUCUCAAGGAAGAAGAUCUGACGGUACUUGAGGAAUAAGCCGCGGCUAAUUCCGUGCCAGCAGCCGCGGUAAUACGGGAGUGGCAAGCGUUAUCCGGAAUUAUUGGGCGUAAAGCGUCCGCAGGCGGCCUUUUAAGUCUGUCGUUAAAGCGUGGAGCUUAACUCCAUUUAAGCGAUGGAAACUGGAAGGCUAGAGUGUGGUAGGGGCAGAGGGAAUUCCCGGUGUAGCGGUGAAAUGCGUAGAUAUCGGGAAGAACACCAGUGGCGAAGGCGCUCUGCUGGGCCAUAACUGACGCUCAUGGACGAAAGCCAGGGGAGCGAAAGGGAUUAGAUACCCCUGUAGUCCUGGCCGUAAACGAUGAACACUAGGUGUCGGGGGAAUCGACCCCCUCGGUGUCGUAGCCAACGCGUUAAGUGUUCCGCCUGGGGAGUACGCACGCAAGUGUGAAACUCAAAGGAAUUGACGGGGGCCCGCACAAGCGGUGGAGUAUGUGGUUUAAUUCGAUGCAACGCGAAGAACCUUACCAGGGUUUGACAUCCUGCGAAUCCCUUGGAAACGAGGGAGUGCCUUCGGGAGCGCAGUGACAGGUGGUGCAUGGCUGUCGUCAGCUCGUGUCGUGAGAUGUUGGGUUAAGUCCCGCAACGAGCGCAACCCACGUCGUUAGUUGCCAGCAUUCAGUUGGGCACUCUAGCGAGACCGCCGGUGAUAAACCGGAGGAAGGUGUGGAUGACGUCAAGUCAUCAUGCCCCUUACAUCCUGGGCUACACACGUACUACAAUGCUACGGACAAAGGGCAGCAAACUCGCGAGAGCUAGCAAAUCCCAUAAACCGUGGCUCAGUUCAGAUCGUAGGCUGCAACUCGCCUACGUGAAGGAGGAAUCGCUAGUAAUCGCAGGUCAGCAUACUGCGGUGAAUACG